GGGCUACUUAAAUAUUGGGCCAUA
rnacentral:siRNA from 1 species